rnacentral:rRNA from 1 species
CAGGUCACUCCUACGGGAGGCAGCAGUGGGGAAUAUUGGACAAUGGACGCAAGUCUGAUCCAGCUAUGCCGCGUGAGUGAUGAAGGCCUUCGGGUUGUAAAGCUCUUUGAGCGGGGAAAAUAAUGAUGGUACCCGCAGAACAAGCCCCGGCUAACUCUGUGCCAGCAGCCGCGGUAAUACAGAGGGGGCUAGCGUUGUUCGGAAUUACUGGGCGUAAAGCGCGCGUAGGCGGUGCUGCAAGUUAGAAGUGAAAUCCCGGGGCUUAACCUCGGAACUGCUUUUAAGACUGCAGUGCUUGAUGAUGGUAGGGGGUGGUGGAAUUCCUAGUGUAGAGGUGAAAUUCGUAGAUAUUAGGAGGAACACCAGUGGCGAAGGCGGCCACCUGGCUUGGUAUUGACGCUGAGGCGCGAAAGCGUGGGGAGCAAACAGGAUUAGAUACCCUGGUAGUCCACGCCGUAAACGAUGUGUGCUAGCCGUCGGGCAGCUUGCUGUUCGGUGGCGCAGCUAACGCGAUAAGCACACCGCCUGGGGAGUACGGUCGCAAGAUUAAAACUCAAAGGAAUUGCG